rnacentral:rRNA from 1 species
UACAGAGGUCCCGAGCGUUGUUCGGAUUCACUGGGCGUAAAGGGUGCGUAGGCGGUCGGGUAAGUCUGAUGUGAAAUCUCACAGCUUAACUGUGAAACUGCAUUGGAUACUAUUCGGCUUGAGGUCUGGAGGGGGGACUGGAAUUCUCGGUGUAGCAGUGAAAUGCGUAGAUAUCAGGAGGAACACCUGUGGCGAAAGCGGCUCACUGGACCAUAACUGACGCUGAUGCACGAAAGCUAGGGGAGCAAACAGG